rnacentral:tRNA from 1 species
GCGCUUGUAGCUCAGCUGGAUAGAGCAACGGACUUCUAAUCCGUAGGUCGGGGGUUCGAAUCCCUCCAAGCGCGCCA